rnacentral:rRNA from 1 species
CACGUAGGGCGCAAGCGUUGUCCGGAAUUAUUGGGCGUAAAGAGCUCGUAGGCGGUCUGUUGCGUCCGCUGUGAAAUCUCGGGGCUUAACCCCGAGCCUGCAGUGGAUACGGGCAGACUAGAGGUAGGUAGGGGAGAAUGGAAUUCCCGGUGUAGCGGUGAAAUGCGCAGAUAUCGGGAGGAACACCGGUGGCGAAGGCGGUUCUCUGGGGCUUACCUGACGCUGAGGAGCGAAAGCGUGGGGAGCGAACAGG